AUCCUUUUAAAUAUCCUAUAAAAUGGUUCUGGUAAUUACUGGAAAGCUGUCUUCAUAGAGCUGCUUGAAAUAUAUGUUGUAUUUUUCUGUGCUGCUUCAUGCCAUAGGCACUGGGUCUCCUACCUGCCCCCCUGGUGAGCAGGGCUACUCAACCUGUUCCGUGCAUUGGCUCUCCCUGGAGCUCACUGCUCUUUGUGGAAAGAAUCAAGGGUACCUCAUUGAGGAAAUUCUCAGCACAGCUCCUGGGACAGGCGGUAGAAGCAUUUCACAUGCUAAUACUCUACUCACAGUUGCAGUUGUGUCAUUCAGACGAGUACCUUCUGAUUUAGAGAUGUGAGAACAAAAUGUAGCCCUGUUAACUUGUCUGUCAAUUAUCAGUAGGCAGAUCCUAGAUAAUUAAAAACAAACUUCUUGUUAACAGACAGUGGGAAUCAAUUCUUUGCAUGGUUCUAAUUUAUUGUAUUUCACAGAGAAGGUGAUUCAGAAUCCUGAUUAUUUUUAUUCUCUGUAAGCCCUUUGAAGUCACAGAAUGACAUAAAAUGAUGACUGAGCCUAGCAAUUGACAGGGAUCGAGACAGUUUUUCUCUCCAUCAUGAAACGGAAUGGAGUGUUAUGAAAAGGUUAUCUUCUGCUUUUUGUUUAGGAAAGAAGAGUCAAACUGCGAAACAGAACACUAAAGAAAGGGAAAGCUGCGUUCUGAAAUAGGCAGAGAGAGACCAUUUCAACUCUUCCCAAUUUGCUAGAAAAUAUCUUUACCUCUCUCAUCAUUGCCUUUCAUUUUCCCCUCUCUCAACUCUGUUAAAAUAGUCACUGAGGCUCAUGCCUGAAACUACAGCAACUAAACAGCUUUAGUGUGGGGUGAAUUUGUAACAGGAUUGUUAUAAUUUGUGUCUGGGGACUGGAAAGAACUGUACAUCAUUAUGCAAAUAUAUAUGCAAUAGGCUAAGCGGUGAAACAAAAAGGAAAAGAAAGGAAAUCCCUCAUGGACAGACCAGAGAAUCAACGCAAGAAUUUCCUCUGAAGCAAUUCUGUCACGUUGUGAGAAUACAUGCUUGGACCAUUUUAAUACUUUUUAUUAUUUACUCAGUGGACCAUAACGGCUCUGAAGCUUACUGCAGUGUUUAUUCAAUAGACUAACUCUGUUUUUUUUUUUGUUGUUGUUUUGUUUUGUUUUGUUUUUUUUGCCUACCAUGUAAAUAUGUAUUUGAGUAAUUCUGAAAGGGUGUAUUUUACUCAAUGUACCAUAGUGGCUUCUCUGGAGCCUGUUAUGUUGUACAGUAUUUUCUAGUUUGCUGCAGCCCCUAUGUUAAUACAGAUAUGGUGAUCUUCAUGGCGUGCUUUUUAACUCUGCUCCAAGGACUGCUUCCCUAAGUCUCUGAGGUGCCUGAAUGGAAUAUCAGAUGGCUCCAAGCAGUUUCAUAUUGUGCCAGGCUUCUGUCUCACUCUUCAAAAAUGAAAACCUUCUGGAGAUGUGAAGGUGGGAAUUCCACCACUGUCCAAAGACUCCUGAAGGAGCCUACAGAUAAACUAGCGUGAAAGAGGCUCAAUUAUCUCCAGUCUCCAGUAGUCUCUGCAUGCUUGCUUAAAUAUUUAUUUUUCUGAUUUAUCUAUGAAUAUCUCAAUGACAUUAACUUAAGCAGAAAGAAUUCAAUGUAUUUUUGAGACAACUAUUCAGCUUUGUCUUUCACUCAUUCUUUUCAGUAUUCCCCACUGAGGAUCUGCAUGUUUCUUAGUGACCCAAAAGCAAAACUGUAAUGUCCUAGAAACAUCCAAGGCACAGAGGUGUGCUUCCAAAACCAGAAGCAUCUCUGGGUUUUGGGGAGAGAGGAACUUUUGUGAACAGCAGUUAAUGAAGACUACAAGACUUUUCACCUGUGCCUGGCUUUCCUACAGACUGACAAAGCCACAGUUUGACGUAUUUAUCUUAGAUGUUGUGACAGGUGUGUGGCCUCACUUCUUGGAAACUCAAAGAGUGCUGCGUUUCUGCUGGAAGUUAUGUACUCCAUUCUUGGAUCUGAGGACAGAGAAACCUGGAAGUGCUCUCUCUGAAAACAGGCACCAGCGUCUAUCAUCACAGCACAAAGAGAUGUCAGUGAGCUUCAGUCAAGCGUCUCAGAGAAAAGGACGAGAGCAUGCAAUAGUGCACUUGCUAGGCAAGAGUGACUCACUGAGUAUUUCAACAAGGAUUAUUUGCAAGCUGCUACCGAGUCCCACAUCAACACAUACUUCUUUCUUGAAAAUGGCUGCCAAAUUGUGAAGGUUCGCCAACCACCAGACCAGGCAGCCCAGAGCCACAUCCAGCCUGACCUUGAAUGCCUUCAAAGAAUGGGACAUCCACAGCCUUCUUGGGGAACCUGUUCCAGUGCAUUACCACCCUCUGUGUGAAAAACUUCCUCCUAAUAUCCAACCUAAACAUCCCCUGUCUCAGUUUAAAACCAUUCCCCCUUGUCCUACCAAUCUCUGCCCUCAUAAACAGCCAUUCCCCUUCCUGUUUAUACGUUCCCUUCAAGUACAGGAAGGCCACAAUGAGGUCUUAAUGUUCAGAGACAUUACAUAAUUCUCAUAAAUGCUUCUCAUCAGUCAAAAUGUUCUGGUGCUUAAACAUUUGCAUUGCUUCUUUUUUCCCCCUAGGCUCAAUAUCUCACCAUCUAUCAUUACCCUUCAUUUAUAGUUUGUCAGACAAUUUUAAAUCCAUGAGACAGUGCUCAUUUCAAAC
ensembl:lncRNA